GUCAUCAGGCUGAUUUUGUCAGAUAACGUUUGACACACAUAGUAUGAGGUCACAGGGCGCUGCUGUAGGUGCCUGAGCUGACUUGACUAUUCAGUACACUCCAUCGAUGGCAAAGUAUUUGGCCUUCCUUGUUGGAAUUAUUGUUGACAAAGUGCGGGAGCUCAUCUAAGGGCACUGAUUCAGAUAUACCUCUGACCUUUAUGUUCUUCCUUCUGCCUCUGUCAUCCAGUGUUGUGAUUUGCCUCGAGAAGGUAGCUUGCGUGGACUGCAGGGCAUGUACAUGUUUGCCAAGCGAGGUCAGGACUUGUUUUAGGUCUGUUGUCACUGCUUGUAGCUCUGUAGAGCGCACUAUUAGGUCUGCCUCCCACAUUUGUUGUAGAUUACAUUGCAGACCUGCUAGCAUGAGUUGAAUAUCCCUCCUGGAUGCAGGGGCUGAGUUAUCUGCUUCUUGUGGUGUCUCUCUGCUAGGACCCUCCACAGCUGGGCUGUGCAUGGAGUUUGUUCCCUUUGGCAGUGAGGCCUCCUGAGAGGCUUGAGCCUGAGCCUACAUCUGUCCAACGUGUCUUUGGGUGGAAGGAAGCGGUUUUUGGGUCGCCGCCCCAUGGCAGUGUUACUGUGGCAGUCGUGUAGUUGAACAUUACACUUGGCGGCACUCCACACUUGGUGGUCCUCGUCCAGCUCUCAGAGCUGUCUGCCCACGUAGUAGGACUUAAGUCACCGGUUGUGGUAUUUUGUGGUCAGGGAGAGGAAGAAAGAAGGCCAGGGUGAGGCUCGAUGCUGUUGAUUGCGGGCAGAUUAUAUCACGGUUGCCCGGAGAGAAAUGGCUGAUGUUCCGGUGCACUGCUAAGCUCCACCCCCUCUUUCUGACACUUUUUGACUUUUUUUGCCCCUUUUCUCCUGAUUAUUCUACCAUUGAUUGAAAUUUACAAAAUAAGACCAAUGAGUACGAAUCAAAUAUUUCCCAGAAAAAUACAUUUUGUAAUUUGUUUAAAGUGUAAACAAAAUAAAAAUCUGUUUCAGGAAAUCCACGCGGCAGACAAAUUUGGCAAUAUGAAAACACAAAUUCUUGCACUUUUUUUUUUUUUUUACAUUUUUUUUUUUUUCUUUGGGAGUAACACCUUUGUGAACCGAAAAAAAAGGAAUUCAAAAGAAAACCG